AAAGUAAGAAUAUAAACAAAUAACGUAUCUCGAUGCAACCCUAUUCUCAUCUCAUUUCUUAAAACUUGGUUGGUAGCUAGAUUGCAGACACCAUUUCAGCCACUCAGAGCUUUCAGGUCAUACAAAGGGGAAUUCAGUAGAUAUGGCUUAUGCUAGUGUUGCUUCUUGAGAUCCAAAUUUGUGACUACAGAGAAGAAUUCCCGCUCUUCGUGAAGAAGUUAGUUAGCUCCUUACAAAUAUUUCUCAAGAGCUUAUGAGAAAAGCAAGGAUUCUGGGGAAAUGAUUGAUUUGGUAGCACAAAUAAAAGAAGCUGCGAAUGUUGUUGAUGCACAAUGAUAAAUGAUAAAAUGCAGAAAGAGAAGGCACAUGAAAGGCUUUGUGUUAGCUUGCAACAAGUGGCAAAGGAUAUUGAUCGGGUCCAGAAAGAGUCGACAAAGAUUCAAGAUAAAGGCAAACAAACAUCAAACAAAUGUUUGUUUCAAGAUUCAAGUUCAGCAAAACAUAUUCUACUUGUUAAGAACAACAUGGUGGGACGUGAUGAUGAAAGGGAAAAAUCGUUAGACGAUCUGACUAGAGUUUUCUUUGAUGAACCCAAAGUCAUCAGGAUUGUCGGGAUGGGAGGUAUCGGUAAGACAACAGUACGGAAAGAAGUGUUCAAUGUAUCUAUUCGAUCUUGUUUUGAUGUUUGUGCAUGGAAUGACGUGAGACAAUGCUUUCCAAGUCAAAACAAUGGAGUCGAAUAUUGUUGACCACCCUUUCCUUAAACUAAAAAGAGUCGACGGACUCUUCUAUUCUACUCUCUAUGGGAAUCCGAAGCUGUGAGGACGACCCGCGCACUUAGUUCCCUCCAUUCCUGGAGAAGGGCCUUUUUCCUCUCUUCCAGACUACGGAUGUGGUUCCGGAUCUCUUGUAUCAUAUUUGCUACGGCCUCAGGGUCAAGAGGAGGCAAAUGCACCCACUCUCUUCCAAACCGCGAAUAUGGUUCCGGAUUUCUUGCAUCAUAUUUGCUACGGCCUCAAGGUCGAGAGGAGGCAAAUGCUCCCAGUCUCUUCCAGACCUGGGAAUGUGGUUGCAGAUCUCUUGCAUUAUCUUUGCUAUGGUCUCAGGGUCAAGAAGAGGCAAAUGUGCCAAUUCUCUUACAAACCACGAAUAUAGUUCUGGAUCUCUAAGACCGGGAAUGUGAUUAUGGUUCUCUUGCAUCAUAUUUGCUACGGCCUUAGGGUCGAGAGGAGGCAAAUGCUCCCAGAACAAACCCAACCUUUGUUCCAAUUGGAGCUCGUAAUGAUGAAGUAGCUUGUUAUGCUAGUACAUAGAAUCUUUUUUUUGUAGAUGGGCUUCAUGAAUCCAAAUGAGAGUUGGAACCUCUUUUAAAGUGUGGUGUUUGCAAAUGAAAUAACACCAUAUGAAUUCGAAACUACUGCGAAGCAAAUUGUACACAAAUGUCAAGGGUUACCGCUAACUAUUGUUGUGGACCUGUGGUUGCUGAGCUUCUAUCCAAAUUUGAAAGGAGAAUAAAAUAUUGGGAAAUUGUUGCUGAAAAUGUCAAGUCAUUUGUCACUAAUGAUCCUGAUGAACAAUGUUUAUAUGUGCUUGGGUUUGAGUUACAAUCACUUGAUCAAUGACCUAAAACCAUGCUUUCUGUAUUAUUGAAUUUUUCGGGAAGACAAUGAGAUUUCAGUGCAGAGAUUGGUGAGAUUAUGGAUGGCUGAGGGGUUUCUGAAGAUGGAAAAAGACUUGAAAGGAGAGGCUGAAUAAGUGUUUACAAGAUCUUAUCGCCCGAUGUGUAGUUCUUGACUGCAAGAGAUGUAGGAAUGAAACAAAAAUUAAAUCAUGUAAGGUUCAUGAUCUAAUAUUCGAGCUGUGUUUGAGAGCCGUUGAAAGCCAAAACUUCUUCAUCAUGAAUGACAUUGUAUUCGAUGAUUCAGAUGCAGAAAAAGAGAACACUCGGUGUUCUUAUAGUUUUUCUUUAACUUUUACUCUCAACUAAUAGCUUUUUCAUGUUAAUUUACUCAGAAUCUUGGACUUUAAGUUGUUCGAAACUCUUCUAAGGUGGGUGGAUGUGAACAUCAUAGGUAAAUUGUUCUUAUAUUUUGUUGCUUGUGGCGAAGAAUAGUGUCCAAUUGCAGGCGGAUUUACUCGUUUGAUAUUUUUGGCGAAUUGAGAUGGUUGACCUCA